rnacentral:SRP_RNA from 1 species
GGUGUGCAUGGCUAGGCCGGGGGGUUGGGCGUCCCCUGUAACCCGAAAUCGCCCUUAUGCGGGGGCCGAAAACUUGGGGGCGGUAUACUCUCCCGUCCUCUCCUUCCCAGGCCUCUCGAUGAGGUCUCGUCCCGUGGGGCUCGGCGGAGGGGGAGUCCCUCCUGUAGGGGAGGGAUAACCCCCUUUACCUGCCGAACCCCGCCAGGCCCGGAAGGGAGCAACGGUAGGCAGGACGUCGGCGCUCACGGGGGUGCGGGACGGAGAAGAGGUCUGGGGUCAAGGAGAGGUCUGGGAGAGAUACCCACCCCAAGGAAGCCAUGCACACCACUUUU